AACAGAUUUCUGACCACUCUGAUUUUGCAGAUAUUUUAUAGAGACCUAUGAAACCAGCAACACAUUGAAUAAUCCCAGGAAACUUGACAGGAAGCUGAUAUGCAUACAACAGGACAAUGUUGAAGCCCGCAUACAACAAUAGGUAACUCCACCACUGAAAGAGGCCAAAGAAAUUGCUUGUUAUAGACCAAUUGAUAAGUCCAAUACUGCUACAAAUGAAAA
rnacentral:misc_RNA from 1 species